UACAGAGGUCCCAAGCGUUGUUCGGAUUCACUGGGCGUAAAGGGUGCGUAGGUGGUGAGGUAAGUCGGAUGUGAAAGCUCGGAGCUCAACUCCGAAAUGGCAUUGGAAACUACCUUGCUCGAGGGUUGGAGGGGGGGACUGGAAUGCUUGGUGUAGCAGUGAAAAUGCGUAGAUAUCAAGCGGAACACCAGUGGCGAAGGCGAGUCCCUGGACACU
rnacentral:rRNA from 1 species